rnacentral:lncRNA from 1 species
AGAACCCACAACCAUUGCUUUCCAAUAUUAAAUGGCUUGAAUAUUGUUUUUUGUGGUUAAAAUAUGUUAGAAUACAAUAAGUUUGAUUGAUUACAAGUGCUAGAGCAUCAUGAAGAGUGUUUAGAAGUUUGGAGAAAGACUUGUUGAAAUUUGGUCCCAAAUGGGCUAAGAACUAGGAAACAUUGCGUUGAACCACUAAAUGGCUUGUGUAGUGUUCUUUGGGGUUAGAAUAGGUUAGAGUACAUUAAAUUUGAUUGAUUACAAGUUCUAGAGAUGCAUGAAGAGUGUUUAGAAGAGUGUAGAAAGACUUGCUGAAAUUUGGGCCGAAAUGAGCUAAGAACCCACAACCAUUGCUUUCAAGCAUUUAAUG